GGAGACCACGGUCAAGAUCAACGUCAGUUGCCUGGCAUUUCUAUCGAGCAUCAUCUUCUUCAAUUGCUAACUCACGUCCGUCAGCAGUCAAUUCGGAUUUUCCCGCGUUGCACAACGAAAAUUGAUGCCUCACGUCUACGUAUUGUAGGAUUAACAACACCUCCGCUGAUUCGCUUUCCAGUUGAUACAUCCGCAAGUGAAGAUAGACAAGUUUGAAAUUUCUGAAAGGACGUCGUGCUUCCCUACAAACGCAGUGAUUAUUUCCAGCUGUCUAAUUGAAUCGUGCUCUCCCAACGUAAAUACGGUCAUGCCAACUCAGACGGACGUUCAUGUCUGUCUACCUGUGGUUCAACGUUAUUCGUAAGUCUCUUACAAUUCAAAUAAAACCAUUAGACCUGUGCUGUUCCUGAGCUCGAUGCAUGUUGCAGUUAGCAAGUUAAAGAAAAUAAUACAGUGGUAAAAGAUACUACUUGAAGCAAACUCGGCAUGCUGUUAAGAGAAUUAGUCGUCGUCCUGUCUGUAAACAGCAUCCUUCCCGUAACAAAUUUCUCGAUAGAACGUCAAUCGUUCGCUUGAUGUUCUUAAUGUACUUCGUUAACUUGGUCACAUUUUGUUUUUCUUCUCGUUAAACUCAAACGACUAUCGUAUAUCGUAUAUGUAUUCUUCGUGCUGUUCUUCGCAUUGGCGUGUAGUUUUACGCAUUUGCACAACAUUUCUCGAAAGCGUCUAAUCUGGCACUUCUACUGUUCAUCGACUCAUCGGAUCGAUUCCUUUCAAUCAAACAUAAUCUGCUGACAACUAUCUUCUCACAGAUCUGUACGUAACUUUCUAAAUGUCUCAUGAAUAAUAAUUUUCUGUAUGAAGCUUUAAUGGUCGACAUUUGAUCAGCCGCUGAAAUGCUUAAGUAAUUAUUGAAAGCAUGCGUCUAAUAGUUAAUUAGUCCGUAAAACGUUUCGAUAAUGUUUGCCAUGCUUUUAAGCGUUAAUUAUUUAUCUAUCGAUGUUCCAGAAUGUGUACGCGUGGACCACGAAACGUCUAUCUUUUUCCCUUCUCUCCUUUUUUUUUUCUUUUAAAUGGAAUAAAGUUUCGAAUAGGUGUAUCGACCGGUUCUAUCGAUCGACGUUGGGGAGCCAGCAGACUGCCAGGCUCCAGAAUCUCGAAUGAAUUAUUCCUCGCGAAGCUGUUUCUCCGAAACGAUUAGGUAUUCCAGUCAUUUGCAUGUCCAGACUUUGGUCUCCAUUAUUUUUUACUUAAUUCCGAAACGAAUCCACGAUUUAUAAUACUCUGAGACAAUUUCUUCCGAAAACCAGUUCACAGCCGUGUCUUCCUUUCUUUCAUCAACAAAAAGACACGAGCGAAUUUUUUCUCACAAAAUUUCGUAUUCCCUGGAAGAGUUUCAGGGAUAUUUUUCUUCGCUUGAAAAAUCUCACUCUGCGUAGAGGUAAUUUUAAACUCGAGGAGAGAAUUUUGGCGAAUCUUUAUGGGCAAAUCGUUAAGAUAAAUGGCAGGAAGCUAAUGUGCUAUCAAUCAACGUUCUAGGAGUUUCUACGCAUUUGACAAAAUAUCCGAUAUUUGCUAGAUAUAAAUGUAGUUCUUGAUCGAUGAAAGCACGUUCGUCGUUUCAGUUUCCAUUCGAUGGAAUAUUCGUGGCUCGAAAUGCUGAGAAUUAACAUCAGUGAAAUAAUUUCCUGUCAUAAUGUUGAAAAUAAAAUAGA